GGCAGGCAGGGAGAAGCCAGGCAGGUGGUGUGAAGGGCUACGGGCACAUGAAGAGCUUAGCGCAACUUCGGCAGCUGGGCCCGCUGGGAAGGGCCGGCAUGUCCAGACUGCCAGACCAACAGAAUGGAGGGGCCAGUGAGCAGAAUGGAGGAUGUGCCCUCUAGGAGGAAAGGAGCUGUGGAGGGCUCGGUCCGCUGCCAAAAAUGUGGCACUGGUUUUGGAAGAAAGUAUCCAAUUCAUCUUGCACAACCCCUUUGAUUACUUUAAAAGGCAUUUUAGAUGUGUUAUUGGAAAAUAAAGUUUGGGCUUUGCAAAAGUAU